rnacentral:tRNA from 1 species
GGGACGUUAGCUCAGUCGGUUUAGAGCGCUAGUUUCACAUAUUAGAGGUCGACAGUUCGAUUCUGUCACGUCCCA